rnacentral:rRNA from 1 species
UACGUAGGGGCCUAGCGUUGUCCGGAUUUAUUGGGCGUAAAGAGCUCGUAGGCGGCUUGGUAAGUCAGGUGUGAAAUCUCCACGCUCAACGUGGAGGGGCCACCUGAUACUGCCAUGGCUUGAGUCCGGUAGGGGAGUGUGGAAUUCCCGGUGUAGCGGUGAAAUGCGCAGAUAUCGGGAGGAACAUCCGUAGCGAAGGCGGCACUCUGGGCCGGUACUGACGCUGAGGAGCGAAAGCGUGGGGAGCAAACAGG